rnacentral:rRNA from 1 species
UACGUAGGGUGCAAGCGUUAAUCGGAAUUACUGGGCGUAAAGCGUGCGCAGGCGGUUGUGCAAGACAGAUGUGAAAUCCCCGGGCUCAACCUGGGAAUUGCAUUUGUGACUGCACGGCUAGAGUGUGUCAGAGGGGGGUAGAAUUCCACGUGUAGCAGUGAAAUGCGUAGAUAUGCGGAGGAACACCGAUGGCGAAGGCAAUCCCCUGGGCCUGCACUGGACGCUCAUGCACGAAAGCGUGGGGAGCAAACAGG